rnacentral:rRNA from 1 species
CGGCGAGUGAAGCGGCAACAGCUCAAAUUUGAAAGCUGGCCCUUUCAGGGUCCGCAUUGUAAUUUGUAGAGGAUGAUUCGGCGAGGGCUCCCGCCUAAGUCCCCUGGAACGGGGCGUCAUAGAGGGUGAGAAUCCCGUAUGCGGUGGGCUGCCUUAGCCAUGUGAAUCUCCUUCGACGAGUCGAGUUGUUUGGGAAUGCAGCUCUAAAUGGGAGGUAAAUUUCUUCUAAAGCUAAAUACCGGCCAGAGACCGAUAGCGCACAAGUAGAGUGAUCGAAAGAUGAAAAGCACUUUGGAAAGAGAGUUAAAAAGUACGUGAAAUUGUUGAAAGGGAAGCGCUUGCAACCAGACUUGUCCGCAGUUGCUCAGCCGGUCUCCUGACCGGCGUACUCUUCUGCGGCCAGGCCAGCAUCAGUUCGGGCGGUCGGAUAAAGACCUCGGGAAUGUAGCUCCUCUCGGGGAGUGUUAUAGCCCGGGGUGGAAUGCGGCCAGCCUGGACUGAGGAUCUCGCUUCGGCAAGGAUGCUGGCGUAAUGGUUGUAAGCGGCCCGUCUUGAAACACGGACCAAGGAGUCUAACAUCUAUGCGAGUGUUUGGGUGUCAAACCCAUACGCGUAAUGAAAGUGAACGGAGGUGGGAACCCGCAAGGGUGCACCAUCGGCCGAUCCUGAUGUCUUCGGAUGGAUUUGAGCAAGAGCAUAGCUGUUGGGACCCGAAAGAUGGUGAACUAUGCCUGAAUAGGGUGAAGCCAGAGGAAACUCUGGUGGAGGCUCGCAGCGGUUCUGACGUGCAAAUCGAUCGUCAAAUUUGGGUAUAGGGGCGAAAGACUAAUCGAACCAUCUAG